UAGAACCUUGUCUUGGGGAGCGUAAUGUUUCAAUGAACGUAUAGUGAGAGCAUUAAUGCUGACAACCCAAAAAUUAUAACUCCCAUUGAAUCAUUGAAUUUUGAUGGAAUUUUUGCAGAG
rnacentral:ncRNA from 1 species